rnacentral:rRNA from 1 species
UACGGGGGGGCAAGCGUUGUUCGGAAUUACUGGGCGUAAAGGGCUCGUAGGCGGCCAACUAAGUCGGAUGUGAAAUCCCCGGGCUUAACCUGGGAACUGCAUUUGUGACUGCAAAGCUUGGGUGCGGAAGAGGGAAGCGGAAUUUCCGGUGUAGCGGUGAAAUGCGUAGAUAUCGGAAGGAACAUCAGUGGCGAAAGCGGACUUCCUGGUCCAG